CAGUAUUAGCUCAAAGGAAAUGCCUUUUAGGCUAGUGCCGAUAAUGCGACUUUCAGUAAGCGAUUCCCAAACUCCUUUAUCCCCCAGACAUUUCUAUUCCACUCAAGGAAAAUGGAUUCUCAUCACAUUCACUGGCGAGCAACGUUGAAAUUGAAGUACAACUUGUUUUUGUCGAUCUGUGUUGCACACCGAACUAUGCUCAACGCUGUCAGCACAAUCUGGAAUCUGCAAAUCUGUAAUCAUUUUUCACACAAGGAAUUAUGAUGCCAGCACAAUUACUCCAUCCCCGAAGCAUGUGGGAAGGCGGCUAGAAUGAAGGAAGGAGGCUUGGGCGCUGGUGUUUCGGGAGGCAGACUCGGGGUUAAUGGACAGACCGGAGCAAGCUGACCACCUGCUUUCCUAGACGCCGCUCCCGGCGGGCUUCGCCGAUGGUAAUGAACGCACUGUCCAGCUGCAGCCAUUGAGGGUCCUGUGACUUGACACGGGAGCCCCAUGCCUACACUUGGCCCAAGGGUGCUGGGCUGGGCUUCGAGCCCAGUCUCAGGCAGGGAUGGUACUUAAGUUCACCUAACGUCCACGAUCCCUGGAAUCAGAGUGGCCCACACAUGUCCACCUGCACCAGUCCCACCCUGACCAGUCAAGGAAGAAGAAGGCGCAAGCCAGACUUUAUGGACCAUUUGGAGGCUGUCUGACCCGGGAAGAAGAGGACAACGGAACACAGUGGCACAACAGACAGACGUGAAAAGAGGGGCACUUGGGCCUGGAGUGAUGUCACUAGGGCUCAGCCACGUGCCAGCUGCCAGUUCAAGUGGGGCUGAUACUGGCUUUCUGGUCUUAGGGCCACCUCCCCCACAAGUGCACGCCUCUGAGCGGAAACAAGGGCAGGUUGCCUUUCCUCCAAGUUCAAAGGCUCCUGUACCCAUUUCCUAGACUUUGCAACACCUUUGAGUCCGAGGCCUACAACCCCUGCGGCCGAGAGCAGAGCAGCACGGUGGGGUCACAGGCACCCAGCUCACCUGUCUGAGGCCGCAUCUGCUGAGGGCAGCACCCUUGAGGCCCACUGACCAAGGCAGAGCUGCAUACCUAUGGCUGGAAGCCCAGGAGUCUGCGUUCAGGCACGCGUGUGGUGCCACCACUCGGUGAAAGCUCGCUGAGCCAGCUCCCCUGGCCCCUCUCUGGAGCAGCCUUGACUUGGGGGUGGGAUCCUUUGCCUGGGGGAGAGUUCAGAGGUGCAGGUUUUGGGAACGGAAGUUUCCAGCCUCACUCCGCCAUCACCCAGGACCCCAGAGGCAGGAGAAGCUGAGUUGGAGCAGAAGGCUGCCUGGGGCUGAGCACGAAGCACCUGGUUCUGGGGCCCUAGGGAGGUGUCGGGGUCAAGGUGAGACCUGGGGGAACUGGGUGGGGUGGGCCAAGCCCCAGCGCCCUGAGGGGCUCCGACCAGCCACGGGAGGGGAAGGUCCCAGGAGAACCAGGUCCCCGCACCCUGGAGCCUGGCGGCUGGGCCAGCUUUGACUUGAAAGGCCCUGGAAAUGGAUACUUCUGUUAUCCUAGUGUCAGGAAGGGCUUCAUAGCUAUUCCUAGAGCAACUUGUUUUCCACUGUGUUCACCUGAACUAUACUUUCAAAUUUAAACUAAAUGUUUAGAGCCCGUUUUCUCUCUGUGAUUUACGAGGCCUUCCUUUCUAACAAAUUAAAGCUCUCCCCAGAUGAGCCAAUUUUUCCUGUUCUCAUUUCUAGCCACCCUCCCACACUGGGGAUCGCAGCCAGGAGCGAGGGAGGCCCGUGUGGGAGGCAGCAAGUGCAGAACAGACAGCUCUUUACGUUUCCCUAAAUUCCCAUUUAAUUCCAUCUCUCCAUCCAUUCUCCUGCCAUAGACACAGAUGAGGACAAUAACAAAAC